rnacentral:rRNA from 1 species
GACAGAGGGUGCAAACGUUGUUCGGAAUUACUGGGCGUAAAGCGCGUGUAGGCGGCUCUGCAAGUCGGGUGUGAAAUCCCACGGCUCAACCAUGGAAGUGCACUCGAAACUGCAGGGCUAGAGUCCUGGAGAGGAAGGUGGAAUGCUUGGUGUAGAGGUGAAAUUCGUAGAUAUCAAGCGGAACACCGGUGGCGAAGGCGGCCUUCUGGACAGUGACUGACGCUGAGACGCGAAAGCGUGGGUAGCGAACAGG